rnacentral:rRNA from 1 species
AGAGUUUGAUCAUGGCUCAGAUUGAACGCUGGCGGCAGGCCUAACACAUGCAAGUCGAGCGGUAGCACAGAGAGCUUGCUCUCGGGUGACGAGCGGCGGACGGGUGAGUAAUGUCUGGGAAACUGCCUGAUGGAGGGGGAUAACUACUGGAAACGGUAGCUAAUACCGCAUAACGUCGCAAGACCAAAGUGGGGGACCUUCGGGCCUCAUGCCAUCAGAUGUGCCCAGAUGGGAUUAGCUGGUAGGUGGGGUAACGGCUCACCUAGGCGACGAUCCCUAGCUGGUCUGAGAGGAUGACCAGCCACACUGGAACUGAGACACGGUCCAGACUCCUACGGGAGGCAGCAGUGGGGAAUAUUGCACAAUGGGCGCAAGCCUGAUGCAGCCAUGCCGCGUGUGUGAAGAAGGCCUUCGGGUUGUAAAGCACUUUCAGCGGGGAGGAAGGCGGUGAGGUUAAUAACCUCACCGAUUGACGUUACCCGCAGAAGAAGCACCGGCUAACUCCGUGCCAGCAGCCGCGGUAAUACGGAGGGUGCAAGCGUUAAUCGGAAUUACUGGGCGUAAAGCGCACGCAGGCGGUCUGUCAAGUCGGAUGUGAAAUCCCCGGGCUCAACCUGGGAACUGCAUUCGAAACUGGCAGGCUAGAGUCUUGUAGAGGGGGGUAGAAUUCCAGGUGUAGCGGUGAAAUGCGUAGAGAUCUGGAGGAAUACCGGUGGCGAAGGCGGCCCCCUGGACAAAGACUGACGCUCAGGUGCGAAAGCGUGGGGAGCAAACAGGAUUAGAUACCCUGGUAGUCCACGCUGUAAACGAUGUCGAUUUGGAGGUUGUGCCCUUGAGGCGUGGCUUCCGGAGCUAACGCGUUAAAUCGACCGCCUGGGGAGUACGGCCGCAAGGUUAAAACUCAAAUGAAUUGACGGGGGCCCGCACAAGCGGUGGAGCAUGUGGUUUAAUUCGAUGCAACGCGAAGAACCUUACCUGGUCUUGACAUCCACAGAACUUAGCAGAGAUGCUUUGGUGCCUUCGGGAACUGUGAGACAGGUGCUGCAUGGCUGUCGUCAGCUCGUGUUGUGAAAUGUUGGGUUAAGUCCCGCAACGAGCGCAACCCUUAUCCUUUGUUGCCAGCGGUCCGGCCGGGAACUCAAAGGAGACUGCCAGUGAUAAACUGGAGGAAGGUGGGGAUGACGUCAAGUCAUCAUGGCCCUUACGACCAGGGCUACACACGUGCUACAAUGGCAUAUACAAAGAGAAGCGACCUCGCGAGAGCAAGCGGACCUCAUAAAGUAUGUCGUAGUCCGGAUUGGAGUCUGCAACUCGACUCCAUGAAGUCGGAAUCGCUAGUAAUCGUAGAUCAGAAUGCUACGGUGAAUACGUUCCCGGGCCUUGUACACACCGCCCGUCACACCAUGGGAGUGGGUUGCAAAAGAAGUAGGUAGCUUAACCUUCGGGAGGGCGCUUACCACUUUGUGAUUCAUGACUGGGGUGAAGUCGUAACAAGGUAACCGUAGGGGAACCUGCGGUUGGAUCACCU